UGGGGAAUAUUGGACAAUGGGGGCAACCCUGAUCCAGCAAUGCCGCGUGUGUGAAGAAGGUCUUCGGAUUGUAAAGCACUUUCGACGGGGACGAUGAUGACGGUACCCGUAGAAGAAGCCCCGGCUAACUUCGUGCCAGCAGCCGCGGUAAUACGAAGGGGGCUAGCGUUGCUCGGAAUGACUGGGCGUAAAGGGCGUGUAGGCGGUUUACACAGUCAGAUGUGAAAUCCCCGGGCUUAACCUGGGAGCUGCAUUUGAUACGUGUAGACUAGAGUGUGAGAGAGGGGUUUGUG
rnacentral:rRNA from 1 species